GACGAACGCUGGCGGCGUGCCUAAUACAUGCAAGUAGUACGCAGUUGCGAACGGGUGAGUAACGCGUAUGUAACUGCCUAUUGGAGGGGGAUAACUAUUGACAACGAUCGCUAAUACCGCAUACUAGUCGAUGGACCUGCGUUGUAUUAGUUAGUAGGUGGGGUAAUAGCCUACCUAGGCAACGAUACAUAGCCGACUUUAGAGGGUGAUCGGCCACACUGGGACUUAGAAACGGCCCAGACCCCUAUCGGAGGCAGCCAGAGGGAAUCUUCUGCAAUGGGGCGAACCCGGACCGAGCACAGCCUCGUGGGUUAAGAAGGUUUUCGGGUCGGAAAGGUAUUUUGUUAAGGAAGCGGUACUUAACCAGAAAGGGACGGCUAACUACGUGCCAGCAGCCGCGGUAAUUC
rnacentral:rRNA from 1 species